rnacentral:rRNA from 1 species
UACGAAGGGGGCGAGCGUUGUUCGGAAUCACUGGGCGUAAAGGGCGUGUAGGCGGUCAAGUAAGUGGAAUGUGAAAUCCCCCGGCUUACCCGGGGACCGGCAUCCCAUACUGCUUGGCUUGAGUACGGGAGAGGAUGUGGGAAUUCCUGGUGUAGCGGUGAAAUGCGUAGAUAUCAGGAGGAACACCGGUGGCGAAGGCGCACAUCUGGCCCGAUACUGACGCUGAGGAGCGAAAGCCAGGGGAGCAAACGGG